UGAGGUUAAGCGACUAAGCGUACACGGUGGAUGCCUAGGCAGUCAGAGGCGAUGAAGGACGUGCUAAUCUGCGAAAAGCGCCGGUGAGCUGAUAUGAAGCGCUAUCAGCCGGCGAUGUCCGAAUGGGGAAACCCAGUGCAAUCCGUUGCACUAUCCUUACCUGAAUCCAUAGGGUAAGGAGGCGAACCGGGGGAACUGAAACAUCUCAGUACCCCGAGGAAAAGAAAUCAACCGAGAUUCCCCCAGUAGCGGCGAGCGAACGGGGGAGGAGCCCAGAGCCAUCAGCGAUAUGAGUGUCAGGAGAACGGUCUGGAAAGGCCGGCAGUAAAGGGUGAGAGCCCCGUAUCCGAAGACACUGGUAUUGUGAGCUCAACGAGUAGGGCGGGACACGUGGUAUCCUGUCUGAACAUGGGGGGACCAUCCUCCAAGGCUAAAUACUCCUGACUGACCGAUAGUGAACCAGUACCGUGAGGGAAAGGCGAAAAGAACCCCGGCGAGGGGAGUGAAAGAGAACCUGAAACCGUGUACGUACAAGCAGUGGGAGCCUUGAUUUAUCAGGGUGACUGCGUACCUUUUGUAUAA
rnacentral:rRNA from 1 species